rnacentral:tRNA from 1 species
CGGGGUGACGCACUGUGGUGAACAAGCCCAGCGCAGCGAUCAUGAAUCGAACGUACGCGCAGCUCGAGAGGGUGCCUCGACGUCGUUCGGGACGAAGAGAUCGCAGGUUCGAGUCCUGUCACCCCGACCA